rnacentral:lncRNA from 1 species
UUCUAUGUUGAAUUAUAAUUCUGUUUCUAUGUUUGAUUUCUAUCAACCUAGGCUUAUAAAUUAUGUUCUACGCUGAAUUGAUAAUUUUAUUUUGAUUGAUAAUAUCUAUAAAAUUAUUUUAAUUAUUUAUUUUUUUAAAUAUGGGAUAGGAAUGGGACGGGUAUGAGUUGGAUAUGGAAAAAUGGAUUAUCCGUGUGUAUUUCCGAAUUCGUUGGGUAUGGGGAUGGAUAUCUCUUUUCUUAUCCGAUCGAGUAUCUAAUAGGAUUUGAGUAUAGAGUAUUAAGUUUGGGUUUGGGAAUGGGUAGUACAAUAUCCGAUCCAAAUCAUACCCAUUACCAUCCCUAGCAUAUCGAGAAGGGGGUGGGGGUCGGAGAAAAUUUUUUUUAUACGGUAUAAUAAGAAUUUUAGUAAAAAAUAAAUGAAAAUUUUUUUAUGCAUCGUAGACGGUAAAAAAUGUGAUUCAUAUAUGA